UGCCUCUGAGAGUGGGAUAGCUUCUGGAAACGGAUGGUAAUACCGCAUAACAUCAUGGAUUCGCAUGUUUCCAUGAUCAAAGAUUUAUCGCUCAGAGAUGGACUCGCGUCUGAUUAGCUAGUUGGUAAGGUAACGGCUUACCAAGGCGACGAUCAGUAGCCGGACUGAGAGGUUGAUCGGCCACAUUGGGACUGAGACACGGCCCAGACUCCUACGGGAGGCAGCAGUGGGGAAUAUUGCACAAUGGGGGAAACCCUGAUGCAGCGAUGCCGCGUGGAGGAAGAAGGUUUUCGGAUUGUAAACUCCUGUUGAAGAGGACGAUAAUGACGGUACUCUUUUAGAAAGCUCCGGCUAACUACGUGCCAGCAGCCGCGGUAAUACGUAGGGAGCGAGCGUUGUCCGGAAUUACUGGGUGUAAAGGGAGCGUAGGCGGGAUGGCAAGUCAGAUGUGAAAACUAUGGGCUUAACCCAUAGACUGCAUUUGAAACUGUUGUUCUUGAGUGAGGUAGAGGUAAGCGGAAUUCCUGGUGUAGCGGUGAAAUGCGUAGAGAUCAGGAGGAACAUCGGUGGCGAAGGCGGCUUACUGGGCCUUUACUGACGCUG
rnacentral:rRNA from 1 species